AGAGGGGGUGCAAGCGUUUAAAUCGGGACUUACUGGGCGUAAAGGGCGCGUAGGUGGUAAUAUAAGUGAGCUGUGAAAUACCCGGGCUUAACCUGGGGGAGUCAGCUUAAACUGUGUAACUAGAGUAUGGUAGAGGGAAGUGGAAUUUCCGGUGUAGCGGUGAAAUGCGUAGAUAUCGGAAGGAACACCAGUGGCGAAGGCGGCUUUCUGGACCAAUACUGACACUGAGGCGCGAAAGCGUGGGUAGCGAACAGGAUUAGAUACCCUGGUAGUCCACGCCGUAAACGAUGAGUACUAGGAUGUUGGUUUGCGUAAGCGAAUCAGUAUCGAAGCAAACGCGAUAAGUACUCCGCCUGGGGAUUACGACCGCAAAGGUUA
rnacentral:rRNA from 1 species